GGCAGGCUCAGGAACGCGGGUGGCGGCGCGGGGAGUUCUUCCCGGCGGAAGCCCCCUCGCGUGGGAAGGGGACCCCUGCCAGAGCCCAGGGAGUGGGAAAGGGAGCCCAGCCGCGGCCUGUGGGCUUGAAACACGGGGACUGUUUAACCACAAAGAAAAUACCGGGCUCCACAGAACAAAGGUCACCUCAGUGCUGUGGGCGAGCCACAUGAAAGCGAGGGGACGAGGACACCAUGACUAAGAGCAACCCCUGUGAACCGAAAAGCGCACGCACUCUGCAGUCCCCGGAACACGUGACGUUCUUCCCACACGCGGGAAAUCAGGACAGAACCUCCUGGAUAACAGGAACAGGGGACAGUUUGGGCUAAGGAUGCCGUUUGCAAAACAAAACUAAGAAAACCUCUAGCAGCCUGUUUUCUCCAGCGCACGCCUCGCCUCGUCUCUCCAUAGCCAGUUCAUCUACUUUGCUGUCCUCCAGAGGCGCGUGGCAGCAGCAGGCAAGAGCCUGACAGGGUGGGAGGAGACGCACAGAAGACACCGAAGAAUUACCAGGUGUUGGUUCAUGUCCACACUGGUGAGAGUGGACGUGCAGAUGAUACCUGCUACCUGGAAGACUCAGUCUUCUUUUACAUUUCAGUAGCAGAACAUGUUGCUGCCCCUAACGUUUAUUUAUUAGGUUUACAUGUGAACCACGCUUUAAGAACACCUGAAAUGUGGCGUACCCUUGACUGCCCGGGAGCACUGGCUGCUGCAGACCAGCCCUGCCUCUUUGGAUCUUCUGCGCCUACACUCCUGCCUCUCCUUCCUCUCAAACAGUUCCGUCUCAGGCACCUCUUCUAGCUCCUGCUCCUUCUCCUAAAAGGUGUUCCCCACCAACGAUAUGACUUGGGCUACUUUCUUUUUCUUCUCCACACUGGCCAAUUUCAACCAGUUUCCUUGCAUCAUCUCCGCCUGUAAGCAGAUCCAUUGCUGCCCUGUUCCAGUCCCUGUUUCCCAGGGGCCCUCUGGACAUCAUCACCUUAUCAUCAACCUGUUAGUAUAUAUUUUAUGAAUACUUAAUUGCUGGGCAAUAAGUUAAACCCUUUAUAUGCACUGUCUCAUUUUAAUCCUUACAGGGAGGUAUCAGCUUAUAGACAGGCAACUGAGACUUCAAGAAGCUAAAUAUGGGGCUCAGGAUAUCUAAGUGUGGUGCAGAGCACAGAUGGAACUCCAAAUCUUCCUCACUCUUAAACCCAUGUUCUUGGCCAGAACAAUCUGGUUGUCUCACCAGGACCUUCAACUUAAUAUAUCCCACACUGAACUCAUCUUUAUCUUUUCUCCCUUUGCUCUGCUCACAUGUCCUUGUAUACAAUAAUAUAACCAUUAUCUUUCCUAACACAGAAAUCCAAACCCUAGCAUCAUGUUUGACUUCUCUCUUUACUCCACACUGAAUUAAUUUCCAAGACUUAAAGCCUUUACCUGUAGGAUCUCUACCAUCCAUCCUCUGCAAUCCCACACCUGCUUCCCUGGUUCAAGUCCCCGUUACUUCUCUCCUGGACCGUUGCCUUAAUAUUGCAAUUCCUGGCUCGGAAAAUCCGAUCACAUUCAUUGGUAAGUCUCCUCAAGAAAGAAGCCAAGGCAGCAAGAUGCACUACAAAGGUAGUCUUCACUGAUCUCUCCCUCUUUUAACAUUUAACAGCACUUACUUUCUCUACUUUACAUUUUGGAACUUACUCCAAAAUAGUUGUGUUUGUUGUUGUUUAGCAGUCAUAUAUAUAGAUCUUUAUCUGCACCAAGGAAUUAGGGAAGGUGUGCCUUUGGUACCUGAUAGCAGGAGCCUGUGGGUCUCCUCUCUACAACACAAUCACAGGGACCUAGCAUCAGCAGCAUCCAGUCUCCUUCUUUCGGCUCCAAAUUUUAAAUUCCCAGGAGAGAGACAUGAUUGGCCCAGGUUGGGCCAUUUGUCCACCCUUGAUCAAUCUGCUUUGGUAAGCAGCAGGUCAGCCUGGUCUAACAAGGCAACUGAGAGCCUUGCCUGUAAAUAGGGCUUGUUCCCAGAAAAGAGGGAGGCACACACCAUUCAUCCAUUUGUUUAUUCAUUCAUUCAGUCAGCCAGUAGUUGAGCACCUAUUUAAAUAUACACAACUGUUCUUUCAUGUAUGCAAAAUGUUUAAAACAUGGCCCUGCCCUGACCCCAUGAAAGCAACCACAUAAAAAGAUAAGACAUCACCAGAUAAAAAGCAUAACAGUACUCACCCAUGAGAGACCAUCAGUUCAAUUACAUGUGAUGGAAGAGACCUCACUAUACCUUGUAUAAGCCUUUGGUGGUGAAAGUAGUCAGGACUAAAGUGCACAUGUUCAGCAAAAGUUCACAGCAGCCCUAUUAGUAAUAGACAAAAACAAAACUACCAAAUGUCCAUCAGCAGUAGAACAGAAACAAAGUACGGUGUAUUCACAUAAUGUAAUAUUUAACAGCAAUGAGAAUGAAUGCUCUACAAAUAUGCACAAUAUUGCCAAAUCUUACAAUGUUAAACAAAAGAAGCCAGACACCAAGGAGUCUAUAGUGUAUAAUUUCACUGAUACAAGGUAUAAAAACAGGCAAAACUGAUUUACCCUUAGGGAGUCAUAACUUGAGGGGAGCAAAAGGGGGUAUGUGGUUGUUGACAAAGCUGUUUCUUGAGCUGGGUGCUGGGUAUACGGCUUGUUCAGUUUGUCAAAAUUCAUCAAGCUGUACACUUACCAUAUGUGCCCUUUCCUAUGUGUAUCAUCCUCCGAUAAAAAGCUUUUAAAAAUAAGUAAUCGGUGCUCAAAGCAAGGUGUUCAUCACCUUUGAACAUCACCAUGGUUACCCUAGAGUUGCCAGUUACUGCCACACACCCCCACCCCCCACCCCCACCUUCAUAGAGAAGCCAGGACACCCGCAGCCUCAGAAGGAGCCACUAGCCUUACUGCAUGGCCUCAUCCCCUCUGGUCCCAGCUGACUGGACUUUUCCUUGCCUGUAAACUUGGGAGCAGGACACUGUGAAACUGAGCCAGGUGACAGGAAGCUCCUGGUCUCGAAGCUUAUACAGACUCAGGGGAAAGAAUCCCCGGACAUAAGCACGGUGAGAUACCAAGAAAGCUGGUCUGCAGAAAACAAGAGAAUAGAGCCUACACACAGAGGAAAGCAAGUAAACCCAGGAGACGAAGGGAGAAGCAUCAGGGGCUGUUGACUUUCAGCUCUGGGACCCACAUGUCCCAGCUGUCAUUGGGUGUCCAUGACAUUGCU